rnacentral:lncRNA from 1 species
AGCGAAGACCAGAAACGAUAAAUCAUCCCCAGGUCACACAGGUAGGCGGUAACUCAAUCCUCUAGUGAGGGCACAUUGGGAGCCAGAGCUUCUGAUUCCUUUUCUUGUAGGAAACCACCAAUUGGCACAACAAAUUUUGCAGGUUUGUGCAAAGAGGGAACAGUGAACAGAAUCCCAAGAGAACAGAAGUCACACCCCAAAAUGCCCACAUGUGAGGUGCAACCCUUCUGAAGGGUAGAGAUCUUGUCCUUUUUCAUCCUCGAUCAUUUCAGCUACAUGAAAUGCAUCCAGAUGACACUAGCAGAGCACUGGCUUGAUUUAGAACGGAGCCACACACCUGUUCUUCUAAAUAUAAACAAAUUUGCAACCUGAGCCAUUGGCAGUCACUGCAGGGUAAGGGGGUGAGAGCUGGGGCCGGUGCUCGCCUGCAGGCUGGCUCUGGGCUUACACAAGGCCAAGGCUCUGGGCACAAGGGCCAAGGAUGCAGAAUGCCAGGCAGGAUAUUUGGAAUUGUGAUCUGGUGGUCACAGUGACCUUUUAUCUUGCCGGAGAGAUAAUAAUUAGCUUUAUUAUCCUUAUUGUUAUUUUUAAACGUGCUUAGUUCGCUCUUGUGGCUCAGCUUGUACCCAGCGUGUUGAAUGUUCCAGGUCUUCUUGGUUGAUAUGGAUGAACGUUGCCUGAGUUGCCAUGUUUGAAGAAAGCUUAUUCUAAAGGAAAUGGUUUGCUGAGAUCCAGAACACUAAUUUAAACCAUGGGGUAUUUUUAUUGUCUCUGUGAAGGCAACACUGUUUUGGAUUCUAGAGUUCCUGGCUAUUCAAAGUAUGUGACUACUCCCUCAUACUGUCAUGCCUCUUUCCAUUCUUGCUUAGAGGCCUUGCGAUCAUGCUGGAGUCCUUGGAAAUAUUCCAUAUUAUUCUUAACUGAUGGGAUGCUACAGAGGUCAUAUGGAUAGAAAGUAUAAGCCUUCAAAGAGGAAGAUGUUCAGUCCCGGAAACCAAAUAUGCCCCUCCGCUACAAUGGAAGUGAUAUAUCUUCUACACCUUCUUCCAUUUAAGUCUGGCUGCCUCACCUUUGCUCCAGUCCCUCUGUUCCUGUCAUCUCAGGAAUCUCAUACUUGACAUUACCUACUGUCUCCUGAGUCUUCAACUUGUUAUUCUACUUGAGCUUUGUUAUCUCAGCUAAACUUGUCUCUUUCAUAGAAAGAAAGAAAGAAAGAAAGAAAGAAAGAAAGAAGAAAGAAAGAAAGAAAGAAAAGAGAAAAGAAAAGGAAAGAAGAGAAGAGAAGAGAAGAGAAAAGAAAAGAAAAGAAAAGAAAAGAAAAGAAAAGAAAAGAUUUCUCUCUAAAAAAGAAAUCUUCUGUUUUGUAAAUAAUGAUUUCACAUUUUCCUAACGAGCUCAUAUAAGGCUGCAAAACACUUCAGCGUUCAGCCAUGGUG